AUUGAACGCUGGCGGCAGGCCUAACACAUGCAAGUCGAACGAGUGGCGGACGGGUGAGUAAUGUCUGGGAAACUGCCCGAUGGCGGGGGAUAACUCCUGGAAACGGUCGCUAAUACCGCAUACCAUCGGAUGUGCCCCGAUGGGAUUAGCUAGUCGGUGGGGUAACGGCUCACCUAGGCGACGAUCCCUAGCUGGUCUGAGAGGAUGCCCAGCCACACUGGAAGUGAUACACGGUCCAGACUCCUACGCGAGGCAGCAGUGGGGAAUAUUGCACAAUGGGCGCAAGCCUGAUGCAGCCAUGCCGCGUGUAUGAAGAAGGCUUUCGGGUUGUAAAGUACUUUCAGCGAGGAGGCGUUACUCGCAGAAGAAGAACCGGAUAAGUCCGUGCCAGCAGCCGCGGUAAUAC
rnacentral:rRNA from 1 species